CGGGUGAGUAAUGCGUGACCAACCUGCCCCAUGCUCCAGAAUAGCUCUUGGAAACGGGUGGUAAUGCUGGAUGCUCCAACUUGACGCAUGUCUUGUUGGGAAAGUGUUUAAUGGCAUGGGAUGGGGUCGCGUCCUAUCAGCUUGUAGGCGGGGUAAUGGCCCACCUAGGCUUCGACGGGUAGCCGGCCUGAGAGGGCGGACGGCCACAUUGGGACUGAGAUACGGCCCAGACUCCUACGGGAGGCAGCAGCG
rnacentral:rRNA from 1 species